AACUCGCGUCGUAUGCUAUCUACCUGAACUUUGAUCGCGUUAUAUGUUAUCUACCUUUCGGUUGAUAUCUACUUAAUACUUUGUACGGAGACUAAUAUUGCAGGUGUAACCGUAUAAUUAUAAACAUCAAUAAUACACUCUACAGUCUACACUUUACACAUAUCAUAGCUAGUAGACAUAUGACUUUUGUAAAAGUGGUACAUGUUAUUUACAAUGAUGAAUCUUGCACCAAUUUUUUAAAACAAUGUGGUGUCUUACCCACUGCUAAAGUAUGCCAAAAAGUUAAUUCAAAAUAAAAUAUGGCAUAAAAACACGUGGUGCCACUAACUUAUUGGAACGGCAGUUGAUGGAAGAGUGGUGACGUUCACUCAAUGCAUCAAAGAAUCUUUUUGACCAGUUUUUUGAAGACAUGAAAAAGAGUUCUUUAAUGUAAUUAAUGUCUAGAUGCACAGACGACACCAACAAUCUACAAAUUGCGGGGUGGAAAAUUGUAGAUAACAUACAACGCCAACACACAAUUUUGGUAGAUACAUUUUUCAUGUAGAUAGCAUACGACGCGAGUUCCAAUUAUUUUUAU